UGGGGAAUUUUGGACAAUGGGGGAAACCCUGAUCCAGCCAUCCCGCGUGUGCGAUGAAGGCCUUCGGGUUGUAAAGCACUUUUGGCAGGAAAGAAACGUCGCGGGUUAAUACCCCGCGAAACUGACGGUACCUGCAGAAUAAGCACCGGCUAACUACGUGCCAGCAGCCGCGGUAAUACGUAGGGUGCAAGCGUUAAUCGGAAUUACUGGGCGUAAAGCGUGCGCAGGCGGUUCGGAAAGAAAGAUGUGAAAUCCCAGAGCUUAACUUUGGAACUGCAUUUUUAACUACCGGGCUAGAGUGUGUCAGAGGGAGGUGGAAUUCCGCGUGUAGCAGUGAAAUGCGUAGAUAUGCGGAGGAACACCGAUGGCGAAGGCAGCCUCCUGGGAUAACACUGACGCUCAUGCACGAAAGCGUGGGGAGCAAACAGGAUUAGAUACCCUGGUAGUCCACGCCCUAAACGAUGUCAACUAGCUGUUGGGGCCUUCGGGCCUUGGUAGCGCAGCUAACGCGUGAAGUUGACCGCCUGGGGAGUACGGUCGCAAGAUUAAAACUCAAAGGAAUUGACGGGGGUCGAUAGC
rnacentral:rRNA from 1 species